GUAGGUGGCAAGCGUUGUCCGGGAAUUAUUGGGGCGUAAAGCGCGCGCAGGCGGUUCUUUAAGUCUGAUGUGAAAGCCCACGGGCUCAACCGUGGAGGGUCAUUGGAAACUGGAGAACUUGAGUACAGAAGAGGAAAGCGGAAUUCCACGUGUAGCGGUGAAAUGCGUAGAGAUGUGGAGGAACACCAGUGGCGAAGGCGGCUUUCUGGUCUGUAACUGACGCUGAGGCGCGAAAGCGUGGGGAGCAAACAGGAUUAGAUACCCUGGUAGUCCACGCCGUAAACGAUGAGUGCUGAGUGUUAGGGGGUUUCCGGCCCCUUACGUGCUGCAGCUAACGCAUUAAGCACUCCGCCUGGGGAGUACGGCAGCAAGGCUG
rnacentral:rRNA from 1 species